GGCGCGGCGGAGCCUCCCGGGCCUCGGACGCUCCUGCUCGGCCUCCGCCCGCGCCUCCCGCCGCCGCCACUUCCGGCCGCGCACCUGGGCCGCGCACCUGGGCCGCGCACCUGCCUCCCGGCGCCCGGCGGCAGCAUGAAGGACCGGCUGGAGCAGCUCAAGGCCGAGCAGCUGACGCAGGACGACGAUGCGGAGGAGGUGGAGAUCGCUGUGGACAACACGGCCUUCAUGGAUGAGUUCUUCGCCGAGAUCGAGGACACGCGGCUGAACAUCGACAAGAUCUCGGAGCACGUGGACGAGGCCAAGAAGCUGUACAGCGUCAUCCUGUCCGCCCCCAUCCCCGAGCCCAAAACCAAGGACGACCUGGAGCAGCUCACGGCCGAGAUCAAGAAGAGAGCCAACAACGUCCGGAACAAGCUCAAGAGUAUGGAGCGGCACAUCGAGGAGGACGAGGUGCGGUCGUCCGCGGACCUGCGCAUCCGGAAGUCGCAGCACUCGGUCCUGUCCCGGAAGUUCGUGGAGGUGAUGACCCGGUACAACGAGGCCCAGGUGGACUUCCGCGAGCGCAGCAAGGGCAGGAUCCAGCGGCAGCUCGAAAUCACGGGCAAGAAGACCACGGACGAGGAGCUGGAGGAGAUGCUGGAGAGCGGGAACCCCGCCAUCUUCACCUCCGGGAUCAUCGACUCCCAGAUCUCCAAGCAAGCGCUGAGCGAGAUCGAGGGGCGGCACAAGGACAUCGUGCGGCUGGAGAGCAGCAUCAAGGAGCUGCACGACAUGUUCGUGGACAUCGCCAUGCUCGUGGAGAACCAGGGGGCCAUGAUCGACCGCAUCGAGAGCAACAUGGACCAGUCGGUGGGCUUCGUGGAGCGCGCCGUGGCGGACACCAAGAAGGCCGUCAAGUACCAGAGCGAAGCCCGGAGGGCCGGCCGGCCGUGGAGCGCGGAGGCUGGUUGGCUCCGGGCCCCCCAGUAAGCCAGGCGGUGGGAUGCGCAUCAGGCUCCUUCCCCCUCACGGGACACCCCCCUGCAGCGACCCCGUUGCUUGAGCACCUCUGGGUUUCUCUGCCCGCAUGGAAGCCGGCUCUGGUGGCUUGUGCUUUGUUCUUCUCUGACCACUUCUCCUGGGUUCCGAUACUUUGGUUCUUCAGUUCCUUUCUUCCCACUUUACCUAUUGCUUGUGCAGGGAGCCGGGGAGCCAGGGAGCCGGGGAGUUGUUACCUGGCGAACCUAGGCUGGCUCACGACAGGACCACAGUCAUGCUUUCCGAUCCCCAGUCAGCGGACUGGGUCUGACGGGCGGGCAUGUGCUUCACGGGAGAGGGACAGAAGUCUGAAAUUAGGACUAUUCGAAAACAUAGGCCACUUCUUGGAAAAGGAAAAAUCGGGCACUUGACACCUUGGCCUGUUGCUACUCGGGAGACCCCGAGACAGUUGCUUUCUUACCUGUCCACAUGUGCAAGACUCAACGUGACACAAGAGCCAGCAGAAGCUCCGUAUUUCCGCCUGCUGGCCUUGCUAGCCAGGAAGUCCUUAAGAAACAUAAAACAUCGUAAUAGAACGUCUUUAUAUAGAGCUAUAGUCCUAUUUGGGUCGGUAAGAGGCUUUCGGCGUAGAGGUGAGAGCGGUCGGGUUUUGGACGAACUGCUUUUUGGUUGUUUGUAACAAUGGUUUGUUUUCUCUUAUCCUCCCCAGAAAUUGAUAAUUAUCAUUGUGGUAGUAGUGGUGUUGCUGGGCAUUUUAGCGUUGAUUAUUGGACUUUCCGUUGGGCUGAAGUAAUGGUGGCCCGAGCGGCUGCUGCACUGAAAUGUAAGUAAAUGGGAGGUUCGUGGGGACUCUGGAUUGGCAACUCCUUGAGAACUCGGCCUGAGAUCCCCCCGGCCCUUCUGUCCCCGCCCGUGGUCAUCCUUGGACGCUGAGCGCUCUCGUACUUUCCGUUGCUCGGACUCGGUCUCCUGUCCUCCAAACCCUCUUCUGGCUCGGCUCCCGCUGGCUCCUCUCCUGGGGCCUCCCCCCGGCUCUUUGUCUUACGCUGCGCUGCUGCCCGGCCGGGCACAUCCGAGCGCCGCGUCUUCACUCCCUCUGCUGGGCACUCAGGUUCCUCAUGGGUACACUCUAGACCUGGACUGGGGUCUGUCUUCUGGGUUCUUGCUGACUUUCGCAGAUUUCGGGCCUCGCUUUCCAUAUCCUUUCCAGUACAAACAAAGCUUUGGAGUGGGGCUUGGGGGGCAGUAGGGUCUUGCUUGUGGCUGACGGGCUGGACGCCGAAUGCUAGAGCAGCCAACACUGGAGUGUUGCGUCGUGCCACGGCCUGCACUGAACGCUCGCACACACGUCCUUGAGUCACAGGACACUGUCCUGAAGGAGGACGUACUGCUGUGACCCUUAUCUUAUGGACAAGUCACAGGGCCAGGUGUGAACACACAGCAACGGUAGGCCUAGGAGAGUUCUCCGCACCGUAGCCUCUCUCUGUAAAACCUCGUAGCCGUUUAUGGUCUACGCAGUCCCGAGAACCGUGAAGGAGAGGGACUCUAAAAUUUAGGCUAUUGAUUUCUUUAAAAUCUGGUGAAAAGAAUAGAGCUGAGCCCUGAGUCGGGGCUUCAUGUGCAGAGGAGCAGCAGGACAGGAUGGUCUCACUACUGGCACGGUCCGCACCCCCGUGACGUCUCAGGUAUUAACAAAAACCUAUCAAACACAGAAAAGGGGAACAGCAUUUUUGAUGUUACUGCUGAUAACGUCGUGGCACGCUCACACACUCAGACCUGUUUCAGAGUUCAGAUAGAUCCUCGGUGGUUUGAGGCUCCGUUCAGAGAUCCUACGCACCGCAGCCUCCUUGUGAAUCUGAUUUUCAGCACAAGAUUGUGAAUAUACUCUCGAUUAUUUAAUACUUCCCCAAGGUUGGAGUUUGGGGAUUACUGGGUUCCUAUACUUAACGGUACGACUAAUCUGUAUUUUUCUCAUUUCAGUGUUGUCUUUAUGUUAGGAACUCAGAGAGGGCAGGUGGCUGAGGUAAUGGGUGCUGGACACAUACCUCCGCCACGGCGGUGCCCAGACCCGAGCCUUCUCUAUUUUUGCUCCUGUGUGUCUCUUCCUCCCACCUCCUCCCACGUGACCAGAGUCUCCAAGUCAGAUAAUCAUAGCACUAAACAUCCCCUUCUUCUCGAGAAUGUAGAUGAAUCCCUUCUUUAAAUAAGGAGACUAAUUAACGUCUUUGCGGACUUACGUGCCCCUCAGGAGGCUGCGUCGCUGAGCAGCGUUGGGCUGUGUAGGGCGGUGCACUCCGUCAAGGUGGUCAAGGUGGUCAAGGUGGACGGCUGCCGCUCUCAGGCCUGGACCCUCCCUCCACAUGGCCUGAGGCCGAGAGGGAGGAGACAGCCCACCUUGGACUCCCCAGUGGUGUGCCAGGUGCUGUUCUAGGGCGGUAACGCUGUCCCCAUUUUCGGAUGGGAAACUCUGGAGCUCAGUGAGGCUAAGAAACCUGCCCAAGCUGGCCCAGCUCCUAAGACGAGCAGCCGUGGUGACCCCUGAACUUUUCUUUAUUCUUUUCACUGUGUUAGAGAAGCGGGGAGGAGGGGAGGGGUGGAGAAGACCCGAGCUCUGGAGCUCGAUGUGCAAGGUGCUGCCGAGGGCCCCGUAGAGAGAACAGGUGUUCUCGUGCGGUGACUGUGCCUCCCCGGCGUGUCCUCCCAGGAAACGUCACAGCGCCCGCGAAGGGCCAGCAGAGGCCCUGGGAUUUAUCCCCUCGUAAUAUGGCCUUUGUUUCUUCGCAGUACGACGUGUAGCCCCGGGUCGCGUCUGCGGGAUGUCAGGUGUGGGGUGGACCUCUCGGUUGCCCUCCUUUCCCUGCAGUGACGUGAUGUUCCCUGUCCACCCCCUAGGCCUGCUAAUGUUGCCCUCCGCCGCCGUCCUGCGCACUGAUGAGCUCCUCCCUCCCCUGCCUCCCUUAGAGCCUGAUCCACUCCAGCCUGCUGUGGCCACCCUCGUCUUCAGAUGGGAACGGAGUCCGAGGGGCCUUCCUGAGUGGGACCUGUUCCUUUGCUUCCUUGUAACCGUCCUUGGACCUGACCCAGCAAACACUCUGGCCCCGGAGGAAGCUAACCUCCCUGAUGCAGCCCCGAGUUCUCCUCACCUCCUCCUGCCCCGCCAGCUCCCGAGCACCUUCUCUCCCGGACAGUGCGAACCGCCCGGCUCCCCUUCUUCCCUCUGAACGUGGCACGUUACCCCUUGCACCGGGGAGAGCUCGCUCACAACCUCCCCGAGGGGCUGUUUUCUACCUCACGGACUGUUCCCUCAGACGUUGCAACGAAUCUCUUCAGGGGUGUCCGAAACAACACAAAGGGGUUCUCCCGAGCGGGGCAACAGUAAGGCUGGACGCGAGCCUUCUACUUGGCAGGUCUCGGCCCCCAGCUGCUUGUCCCUGGGUCUUGCAAAUAUGAGGGACUGCAGAUGUCACGUUGGUCUUAGAAGCUGACUUUCGGGAAAUUCGGUCUUAAGUUACGCCUUGAAGAUGUUCAGCCUGGCGGCCAACUUCAGCCUUUACGCUGUGGUCGCUCAGGUCUACUCAGGGAGGCUCCAGGGGCCGUGGCGGCCUGGGGUUUCCAUCUGUAAAAGCUGAGGGUAGGGGCCUUGUUUCCCUCGGACUCUUGGAAACUGGCUCUUCUCAUCGGACUGAUGCUUUGUGAAGCCACUGCCUUGAGGCCGGAAGAACCCAGGGGCUUAAAAUUGGGCCAUGGGCCAGGGACGAGGUGCUGGAGCCUCGGGCUCUGGAAACGCUCAGAUUGGUGCGAGUGUUCAGUCACUCAUUUCGUAUAUUCCAGAUGUAUUGUUAUAAUCACGUGUGUCAGAUGUAUGUUCAUGUUUGCCCGUGUCUCUCAGGAAGUAGGAAACUAGAAAUGAAGACUAUUAGAACCUCAAAAAUAAAAAAAAAAAAAAAAAAAAAAAAAAACUUGAGCAGGGCUAAAAACUAGGUAAGAGACAUUUGCUUACCUGCAAAUGGAUCCUAGUAGAAAUGGAUCUUCCCGUGUCAUCGAGAAGCCUCGUUUUCUAGAUGGGGACUGGAACAGUCCUAGAUCUUUGGGGGGAGGACUACGUUGAUCCCGUUAAGUUUUUCUGCGUAGCAGACAGGUGCGACAGGCUUGGCACCUCUCCCCGCUGCUGCGUAGGUGAGGCUUGUCCUGAGAACAUCCACAGCGGCUUGAGGUUGAUCCUGUGCCUUCAGGAUGGUCCUGUCUCCAGGGCAGAGUCAGUUGGGGAGACUGGCGACUACUACUGAGUAGCUCAUCCUGUUACCCGGUUAAUGAGCUUCACAGGUUUUGUCUCCCCCGUUCUUGUCACGGAGGAAGCAACAGCCAGGAAACGAUUUCAGGUGAGUGGCUCUGCUGACCCAGGGCGAGCCCCUUGGACUCCCUGCCCGUCUCCCUGACUUAGGGCAGCUCUGACUCCCUAGGAUGGGGUGAGCAGCACCUAAUCCUACCGCUUGGCUUCCUUUGCAAAGGCCACACACUCCACCGUUGCUCAGCACUCAGACAGAGCCAAGGGGAUGUCCUCUUGCCCAUGGCUAUGAAGUCAGACAGUGGACUGGCCCCAGCAACAAGGGCAGCCAAGCUCUAGUCACAGGCCUUUGUGGAGGCCUGGGGCUUAGUGUGGAAUACAAGUGAAGGCUUUUUGGUCAUUUGUAUUUUUUUUAAAUGUAAACUUGAUUAUUUUAUUGAUAAUUUAAAAAAUAAAUGACUUUAUAUUGAUCGCAAAAACAGUUCUGGCUCCGUUUCUCUGCAAAACAGUGGUUGGGUGCCACCAUGUGGUGGUUUUUGUUUAGGUUUUGGAAAAGGGUUAGGAUCCUUUUUAACCGUGUGCCAGACCUGAUGGACCAAAGUUCUAAUUUUUGAGAACGGUUCAAUUUUCAAAGAAUAGUGUGUAUUUGAGUUUCAGACUUACGGUGUUCCUCCCAAGAAUUCGGUUCACUUGUCGGGAGCAUUGAUUCCAGGAGAGGGGAAAGCCGAUGUGAUGGGAUCUAGAAGGCGGAGCAGACUACACAUCCUCCGAGAUUGCUGUUGAUCCAAUUUUGAACCUCUCGCCUGAACAUCCCGGGUUCUAGAAGCCAGAUCCAUGUCCCUUUCCCUUCACAUCCUCCCCCGUGUCUAGAUCCACUUUUGUCUUCCUUCCCUUGCAACUCUGCACGGUGAUGCUGCUUCUCACGUGCUUUUUCUUUCCUUGUCUGGACGAGCAGAAGAAGAUCAUGAUCAUGAUCUGCUGCAUUAUCCUUGCGAUCAUCUUAGCUUCUACCAUUGGGGGCAUAUUUGCCUAAAAAAGUCCUCAGCGAUGGAGCCUCGGCCGGCAUCUUUAAUCCUCCUUGCGCUUCCGUGGUGCCAUCACUUCUCCACUGCAGAUUCCUCAACAGCUACUCCUCUUCCCAUUAAGAAAUCCACGACACGGGGCGUCCAUCAACCACCUAGGAAAAGUCAUGCAAAGGCAGACAGGACAGGACAGGACAGGGUGGGGGGCACAGGGAACCACUGUGGCUGCUUCGGAAGGCGGGGCCAGGGUCAGGGUCAGGGUCAGGGAGGGGCUGCGGGUAGAGGAUAGGCGCCUGUUGGGCAAACAGCAGCCAGGCCGGUCCUGGAGCACAGCCAGCUCCUCAGCAGCUGCUCAUUUCCUCCUUGGUCAACACCAGGCACUUGUUACAUCUGCCCUUCAGGUUCCUUAGGACUCAACUCCCACCAGCCUUCCAUCCACUUCCUUCUUCAGGGCCUAAUAGUCCAAAGUGAAGAUGCUCUAACCAUAGGCACCAUGCAGGUCUUGCUCAGGGCAGCGUCCCCAGUGCUUAGCACAGCGCCUGCCACUUGCAGGUGCUCACGUUAUGUUGACUUAAUUACCUGUAAUUCAGCUCUUAUUUCUGCUCAUGGAAGAGUCCAUGGGUUUAAACCCUAUGAGGCAUCAGUGGUAAAUGGGUUGCUGGUCUCAGAGGCUGUGUGCAAAUACCUGGGGGAGGGCUCACGGACACGCACAGACACCGCAGGCCUCCCGUUACCGUGACACACGGUGGAGCUGAUAGGGUCUCACUCUGCAGAGAUUGGUUGGCUCGGGAUUGUGGCUCAGUAAGAACGUGGACUCCAAACAAAAGAACCAGGUUGACCCCACGGCUGAACUCCCAGAGAUCAUCCGCACCAAGCUCCGUGAACCGUGACAGCGAGGUCAGGUCACAAAGAUGGCAGGAGGCUACCGCUCGCAUUGUUUCUUCUGAGUCAUGCGGCCAGCGGGAACGGAUGUUGCUGGCCGGCGACGUGUGUGUAAAACUGUCCCCGACACUGGCCCCAGGUGAAGGUUCAGAUGUCUUCUAAUGCAAUCUAGUAAUUAUGGUACUAGAGGUUCACUAAAAAUGUAUUAAAAACCACCACGUACAACUGUUAUACGUGUACUUUGGAAAGUGAAUUCUUUGCCGGACAGCUUUUUAAGAAAGUGGGAUAAAAAAAAGCUGACCUUGCCAGUCUGUGCUGUUUUCUACCCACUUUCAAAAAGCAAAUGGUUCACUACUUCUAUCCAUUUGUAUUUCUUUUAGUUCGAAUAGGGGCUAGAAAACUGCUGGGGAGCUCUGGAAGAGAGAAACUUUGUUGAAGGCAGACAGGAGGGUGGGGCCACGGGGCCCUCGUCCAUCCAGCAGGUGGCUGGGCGUCGGGGGGCACACCGCACUGUACUGCGCCGUGCAGGGACAGAGGGAGGGCCAAACACUCGCCCUCCUCAGAGCACUUCAGACCUAGGAAAGGCCAGGCAACUUCGACGUUUGCUUACCAGCUCCUGUAUUAAAAAGCAAGAGUGUAUUCCUCAUCAUACUGUUCAACACCCCCCACCCCCACCCCCACCCCGCCUUCCAAGAGUGAGAGAUGGCUA